UUUCUAUACCACCUAUGUCUGGAGUCCUUCUCCACCACCCUCCUUGCCAUGAUCCUUGCUCCUAGAAUUUCCCUUCACAGUAACUAAUGUUGGGCACUUAGUCAGCUGAAUCCCCUCCCAGGAUCUGCCUGGUGCCUUUCCUUCAGGGGAUGACUGCUAUCCUUUCUCCUGCCAAGGUUGGCACCACAGAAGCCUGGCAGCUCCAGCCCUUGGUUCUUGUCACCCUUCUACAUCUCUUCAUUGUGUCCCAUUGCAUUUCUGAAAACACCAAAACCAAUCACCUUGGCUGUCAAAAGAAGAUGAGGCUUUUGGAGAAUGUCCUAUUAACACAGAAAGUGACCAAAAAUCUAGAAUUUAAUGCCACACAUAAGUUUAACAACGAGAUCAGCUGCUCAUAACUGAGGUGGAACUCUGGCCCUUUUGUCUCUCUCCAGGAAUGUCCAAUAUUUUGCUAUAUCAGGGAAAUACAUGGUUAUUAUUAAUUGAAAUAUUAGAUGGAAUUCUCUGAAACCUUUGGAGUAAAAUGAAGAAGUCCAAGAGGGAGGCUGAGUGGCAAGCUGAGAUCUAUAAGCAGCUGCUAAGAAAUAGUGAAGAGAGGUGAGAAGCAAAAGUCUCAUGUAGAGUAUAAACUCAAGAAUUUAUUACUUCAGAUUUGGGGGUAGAUGCUAGGAGUACAUCAGUGUUUGCUUGGUAUCUUUUGGUUCACCUCUGGCAUACUCAGGUAACAUCAUGUCAUGGUGAAU